rnacentral:ncRNA from 3 species
AUCACAUUGCCAGGGAUUA